AGAAUAGUAUUUUAAUUAAAAAGUCUAACCUGCACUUAGAAAAUGUUAGUACCUAUUCU
rnacentral:tRNA from 1 species